UAAUACAGAGGCCUCGAGCGUUAGGCGGAAUCACUGGGCUUAAAGCGUGUGUAGGCGGAUCGUUAAGUACCUUGUGAAAUCCCACGGCUCAACCGUGGAACUGCUUGGUAUACUGGCGAUCUUGUGCCACCUAGGGGCGAGCGGAACAGAUGGUGGAGCGGUGAAAUGCGUAGAUAUCAUCUGGAACGCCAAUGGUGAAAACAGCUCGCUGGGGGUGUGCAGACGCUGAGACACGAAAGCCAGGGGAGCGAACGGGAUUAGAUACCCCGGUAGUCCUGGCCCUAAACGAUGUCGACUAGAUCGUAGUGCCUCUGACGGUAUUACGGUCGAAGCAAAAGUGCUAAGUCGACCGCCUGGGAAGUACGGUCGCAAGGCUA
rnacentral:rRNA from 1 species